rnacentral:rRNA from 1 species
CGUGCCUAAUACAUGCAAGUAGGACGCACAGUUUAUACCGUAGCUUGCUACACCAUAGACUGUGAGUUGCGAACGGGUGAGUAACGCGUAGGUAACCUGCCUAUUAGAGGGGGAUAACUAUUGGAAACGAUAGCUAAUACCGCAUAACAGUAUGUAACACAUGUUAGAUGCUUGAAAGAUGCAAUUGCAUCGCUAGUAGAUGGACCUGCGUUGUAUUAGCUAGUAGGUAGGGUAAAGGCCUACCUAGGCAACGAUACAUAGCCGACCUGAGAGGGUGAUCGGCCACACUGGGACUGAGACACGGCCCAGACUCCUACGGGAGGCAGCAGUAGGGAAUCUUCGGCAAUGGGGGGAACCCUGACCGAGCAACGCCGCGUGAGUGAAGAAGGUUUUCGGAUCGUAAAGCUCUGUUGUUAAGGAAGAACGAGUGUGAGAAUGGAAAGUUCA